rnacentral:rRNA from 1 species
CUGCUAUCGGAUGAUACUAAGCCAUGCGAGUCUUUGCAGUAAUGCAAGGCAUACGGCUCAGUAACACGUAGUCAACCUACCCUAUGGACGAGAAUAAUCUCGGGAAACUGAGCAUAAUUCUUGAUAGAUCAUAAUGCCUGGAAUGGUUUAUGGUUAAAAUGAUUCGUCGCCAUAGGAUGGGACUGCGGCCUAUCAGCUUGUUGGUGAGGUAAUGGCCCACCAAGGCGAUUACAGGUACGGGCUCUGAGAGGAGAAGCCCGGAGAUGGGUACUGAGACACGGACCCAGGCCCUAUGGGGCGCAGCAGGCGAGAAAACUUUGCAAUGUGCGAAAGCACGACAAGGUUAAUCCGAGUGAUUUCUGCUAAAGAAAUCUUUUGCCAGUCGUAAAACCGCUGGUGAAUAAGGGGUGGGCAAGUUCUGGUGUCAGCCGCCGCGGUAAAACCAGCACCUCAAGUGGUCAGGAUGAUUAUUGGGCCUAAAGCAUCCGUAGCCGGCUUUGUAAGUUUUCGGUUAAAUCCAUGUGCUCAACGCAUGGGCUGCCGAAAAUACUGCAUAGCUAGGGAGUGGGAGAGGUAGACGGUACUCAGUAGGUAGGGGUAAAAUCCUUUGAUCUAUUGAUGACCACCUGUGGCGAAGGCGGUCUACCAGAACACGUUCGACGGUGAGGGAUGAAAGCUGGGGGAGCAAACCGGAUUAGAUACCCGGGUAGUCCCAGCUGUAAACGAUGCAGACUGGAUGAUGCAUUGGCAUAAUAGCCAUUGCAGUGUCUCAGGGAAGCCGUUAAGUCUGCCGCCUGGGAAGUACGUACGCAAGUAUGAAACUUAAAGGA